UAAAAGGAAUGACAGAAGAAGAAAAGAAAACGGUUUGGAAAUAUCGAUUUUAUAUUCGAAAACACCAUCCUCAGCAUCUUCCUCAUGUUAUUUUGUCUGCUCCUCCUGAUUCUUC
rnacentral:ribozyme from 13 species